rnacentral:miRNA from 1 species
AUGUUUGUUUGUCUAAACUAUGCCACGCUUCUUUUAAGUUUAAAGAAGCGUGGCAUAGUUUAGACAAACAAACAUUUA